GUGUACUUCUUUCAAUGCAGGAUUUGCUGGAUAUGUUGAUGAAGCUAAGAAAUGAAUUCCAUUACUGCCUUUUUUGUGGAUGUCAGUACGAGUCAAUGGAAGCCCUGUUAUCCAACUGUCCUGGAAUAAAUGAAGACGAGCACUAGAUUAUAUGCCCCGGAUCAGAAGUCCAGGAGUCGCAUUUGAACUCGGUCGACAUCAUAAUUCCCAGAACGACCAGAAGCCGCAAUGCAAAUAGCACAUCGUUGAAGUGGAAAAGAAUUUUCUGUCUUGUCUAUAUACCAAAUAUCAACAGAUGCAUUAAAAAUCCAAGUUACCUUUUUCUUCAUUAUUGUAUCUUAUGCGAAAACUGGAGUCGUUCUGUAAAAUUAUUACGAGUUCAUUGCCUAUUAGAAGGCUCUAUUGUGAACUCAUCAAGAAUAGAAAAGGGAUUGCAGUCAUUUUGAUUA